rnacentral:rRNA from 1 species
AACGAACGCUGGCGGCAGGCCUAACACAUGCAAGUCGAACGCCCCGCAAGGGGAGUGGCAGACGGGUGAGUAACACGUGGGAACCUUCCCAACAGUACGGAAUAGCCCAGGGAAACUUGGAGUAAUACCGUAUAUUCCCGUGAGGGGAAAGAUUUAUCGCUGUUGGAUGGGCCCGCGUCGGAUUAGCUAGUUGGUGGGGUAAUGGCCCACCAAGGCGACGAUCCGUAGCUGGUUUGAGAGAAUGACCAGCCACACUGGGACUGAGACACGGCCCAGACUCCUACGGGAGGCAGCAGUGGGGAAUCUUGGACAAUGGGCGCAAUCCUGAUCCAGCCAUGCCGCGUGAGUGACGAAGGCCUUAGGGUUGUAAAGCUCUUUUGCCGGGGACGAUAAUGACAGUACCCGGAGAAUAAGUCCCGGCUAACUUCGUGCCAGCAGCCGCAGUAAUAC